rnacentral:tRNA from 1 species
GGGGUUGUGGCUCAGUGGUAGAGUACCUGCCUAGCACACACUAGGCACUGAGUUUGAUCCUCAGCACCACA